rnacentral:rRNA from 1 species
GGCGUAGGAUGCAAGCGUUGUCCGGAUUUAUUGGGCGUAAAGAGUUCGUAGGCGGUUCGUUAAGUCUGAUGUUAAAUAUCGGGGCUCAACCUCGGGAGUGCAUUGGAUACUGGCGGACUGGAGUGUGGUAGAGGUUAGUGGAAUUCCCAGUGUAGCGGUGAAAUGCGUAGAUAUUGGGAAGAACACCAGUGGCGUAGGCGACUAACUGGGCCAUAACUGACGCUGAGGAACGAAAGCCAGGGGAGCGAAUGGG